CAUUGUAAACUUGAAACCCUGUUCUUUUAUACUACUCUGGAAAAAGUUACAAAAACCGAAAGGUGAACGAGUAUACGUCGUUUUAGACAUGCACUUUUGCCUCAUUGAAGAAAGAGGGUUCAGGUUCUGAAGUCCAAGGUAAAUUGGCAGUGGCAGAUUUUACACAGCUGUGCAGUGUGCAAAUGUGUACCAUGGUUAUCUCUGACAUAACCUAUAGACUUUGAGACUGCAGAGGAGAACACAUAACUCUUUUAUAGUCAGGUUGAUCUUACACAAUUCUAGUCAAAACCUGUAUGUCGUUGUUGAACGCAUAGAGGUCCUCUCUGUCUCUAUCUACUCCGCUACAAUGGUGUCUGGGAGGUUGUUGAUGUCCAUGGCCCUCCUCAUUCUCUGUGGGUGUCAGGGCACACACAGUGGUAAUGUGCUGGUCUUUCCUGGGGAGUUCAGUCACUGGCUCAACAUGCGUGUGAUCCUGGAAGAACUAGUGGAGCGAAACCAUAGUGUCACAGUGCUGGUUUGCUCUGCCUCACCUUCAGUCAACUAUACCAAACCAGAGGGUUUCAGCUUCAAGGUGUAUAAUGUUCCUUUUGAGAGACAUGAUUUGGAGUCUCUCCAGGAGGACUUCCUAAACUUCUGGAUAUACGAGGCUCAGAACGCCUCAAUGUUGCAGGUGGGCCUGAAGAUCCGGGAAGUGUUGGGAAGUAUGACAGCUCUACAUCUCAACAUGUGUGAUGCCAUGUUCCACAACAAAGAGCUUAUGGACACACUGAGACAGUGGGAGUUUGACGCAGUCCUUUCUGAUCCAAUGAUGCCAUGCAGUGACUUAAUGGCAGAUGCUCUUAACGUGCCUUUCAUUAUCUCGCUGAGGUUUACAUUUGGCAUGACUAUGGAGAGGCACUGCGGGCAGAUACCAGCGCCCCCCUCUUUUGUUCCUGCCCCCCCUUUGACGUACACAGACCAAAUGAGUUUUUUUGAGCGGGUUCACAAUUUUGUUACGUACAUGAUACAUUCUAGCUUUUUCUCUAUACACUGCCUACAGACCAUUGAUAAGUACUACAGUGGCAUCAAGGGCAGACCUACGACUUUAUGCGAGAUCUUGGGGAAGGCAGAUAUCUGGUUGAUACGGACCUACUGGGACUUUGAGUAUCCUCGACCUUUCCUUCCCAACUUUAAAUUUGUGGGAGGCCUUCACUGCAAACCUGCAAAACUCCUUUCAAAAGCCAUGGAGGACUUUGUGCAGAGUUCAGGAGAUGAUGGAAUCGUGGUGUUUUCCCUGGGAUCCAUGAUCAAGAACCUCACUAAAGAGAGGGGAAACACCAUAGCCACUGCAUUGGGACAAAUACCACAGAAGGUGCUGUGGAGAUACAGUGGGGAGAAACCAGAGACUCUCGCCCCCAACACAAGAGUUUAUGAAUGGAUUCCACAAAAUGAUUUACUUGGUCAUCCAAAGACCAAAGCCUUUGUCACCCACGGUGGGACUAACGGACUAUAUGAAUCCAUUUACCAUGGAGUCCCAAUGGUGGGCAUCCCCUUGUUCGCUGACCAGCCAGACAAUAUCAUCCACAUGAAAAACAAGGGAGCUGCUGUAAUGGUGGACUUCAACAAGAUGACAUCCAAAGACCUUGUGGAUGGCCUCAACAGUGUGAUCAAUGAUCCAUCGUAUAAAGCAAGCAUGAUGAGGCUGUCAAGAAUCCACCACGACCAACCAAUGAAACCCUUGGAUACAGCUGUGUUCUGGAUCGAGUUUGUGAUGCGUAACAAAGGGGCUAAGCACUUGAGGGUGGAGGCCCAUAACCUGAGCUGGUACCAGUACCACUCUCUAGAUGUGGCAGCUGCUCUGCUCACCAUAGUGGCACUUGUCAUAGUUGUAUCCAUUAAAACAUGCAUUUUCUGCUUCCGCAAGUGCUGCAAGAAAACUAAAUCGAGACAGAAGACAGAGUGACCCCUUUAAAUAAUGUGAAAGGGUCAUUCCACCAAAUUAGUACCUUGUUGGGUAGUGUAACUUCGUGAAAAACAAAUGUUUUAUUUCACCUCAUUUUAACAUUCUGUCACAAAUAUGCAUGUUGAACUUUAAUUGAAAAAAUGUUUUGCCCAUCAAGGUUAAAUGAAAAAAAUACUAAUUAUUAAUUGCCAAAUCAAGUAUAGCCGAGUUGACUGUAACAGGGUUGAUGAUGUCGUCUAAAAUCUGCCAUAAAUCCCGUUGCGACAGGUAAUCAAAGCUUGUUGUGUGCAACAGGGAGAACCGAAGACAGAAGAUAAGAGUGACCACCUGGAAUAAUGUUAAUGUCAGGUCUCAUCGUUACGACGAACGUGACAGAACAACCCACCAUAAAAGGUCCAAGCAGCGUGAAAAGGAGGAGCAGCGUUUGAUGGAGCAGAAAGCAUGAACAUGGGACGAAAUACUGGACGGUAAAGGAUCCUGGACGUGGGAGGAAAUACUGGCAGGAGAGGAUCGCCUACCAUAGAGGCAGGUGGAGAUAGCACGGGAGGAACGGCGAAAACACGCAACGAGGGUCCCCAGCCCGGGGCCUACGGCGAGGAUCUGCAGUCCAGAGCCUCCAACGAUGAUCCACGGAUCAGUGCUACAAGACGGACUCAGGCUAAAGAAGGGGGGCGGCGUCCAGAACCAGAGACGC